GGGCGAUGGCGUUGAGUUUCUGGGGAGAAAAGGCCUCGCCUCAGCCCGGCUUCCUUUACUGCCCCGCUCCACCCCCCACCCCUUUAUGAAACCGAGUUGUCUUCUUGUUUGGGGCUUAUGUAUUCUGGCCGUGAACCUCUUGUCAGAGAGAUGACUUGCAAAUAUUCUCUUAUUCCAUCGAUCGGCUUUUCAUUUUGUUGAUUUUUCGAGGACAGUUAACAGAUUUGGUCUAACUUUUCCAACCCUGAGAAUCAUUGGGCUUUUGUUCAAAAAUACAUAUAUUCCCAAGCCCUUACUGAAAAUUCUGAUUCAGGAGAUAAAAAUCAGGAACCAUGAAUCUGUUUUGGUUUUGUUUUUGCCUUGUGGUGCUUGCUUGCGGGGUCUUAGUUCCCCUACCAGGGAGGGAACCCCCUCCCGCUUACAGUGGAAGCUCAGUCUUAACCACUGGACCGCCGGGGAAGUCCCUGAAUCUGUAUUUUUACUAGGAACCUCGGGGGAUUCUCGAAUCUAGAAAGUUUGGAACAUUCUAGAUUCUGCUCUAAUAGUGUUUUUCAGCUGGAGCUGAACAGGAGAAUCAGACCUUUAGCAAGACUAAGGCCUCCUUCCUAUUUGCAGAGUUUUGGAAUUAAUUGGCAAUAAUUAGUUCUCAAUAGAGACCUGCUGGGAUUUUAAGUAUCUCCAGGAGACACUGAUGCCGAGCCCUGGGAGGACCUCGUCCAUCUGCACCUGGCCCAGGGACCCCAGCUCCUGGCACAGUCUGGCUCAGGGUCUUUCAGUUGACUUAGUACCUUCCAGUUUCUCACCAGCUAUACCCAAACCAAACAGAGACCUUACCAUCAUCAUUUGUCUGUAACUAGAAAUUAUUCACGCUAAGGUGCUGACACUCUUGCUCCUGGCUGAAUUUUAAACCUGUCUAUUUCUAUGAAUGAUCUCAAAGCCAAUUUUCCUGAUUACUUCGGUAGUAUUCCUUCAGUAAAUAGGAAGUCUUUGGGGGAAUUUUAGUGUGAAACCAUGUGACUUGGAGAUUGAAGGCAGGUGCUUCGGGGAAUGGGAUCCAAGGCAGAAGAAAAUAAGUCACGGGGAGAAGAUUGAGAACCUCUGACAUUAAUGGACGUGGCAGUCAUGUGGAUAUAAGAGACAGGAAGACUUCAUCGAGUGCCUACUGCAUAUUAAGACUGUGCUAGAAGUUUCUUUCGGUUUCUCAUUUGAUGCUCAUAUCCAUCCUGUGGGAGGGGCCUCAUUUCCAUCUUAUACAAGAGUCCAGAGACAUAAGGUGCCUUUAUCAAGGUCACACAGCCUGCGUGACUCGUUUGGUUCCAAAGCCCACAUGAGUUCUCUUCUGUCAGUUAGGCUCAGUGGAAAAAAUACAGUGACACCAAGUAGAGCUGGGAUAUUGGAAAACUAUUAAAGAGAGAAGAAAAACACAAAAGUUAUUGUUUAAUAAAAUGGUGCUAUCAAGGGUAAUUCAUGUCCCAUCUAUGCCUAAUUAUCACAUAGCACGAUAAUGAUUAUGAUUAGAUGUCUGACAGCUGAAGUUGGCUGUCCAUUUUAUUCGAUCAGAACAGAAAGCAUAACACAUAUAGGUUUCCUCUUCAUUGUUUCUUGCCCACGCAGCAUGUAGCUUGUUCAUGACUUCAGUAAAUCACAAGUGACGUUGACCAGCAGUUUUAGACCAGCCCUGUAUCCCAGACGUAAGAACAAAGAGAGCCAUAUCCAGCCUUUGCAUCAGUCUCAACAAAGAACAGCCCGUUAAUUCGCUAAUUAUUUCUUCCUGCCAUGUACAGGUAGCAUUAGGAAAAAUAAACACACUGAAACUUCAG
ensembl:lncRNA